GGUUGGGGGUUAAGGGGUGGAAUAACUCCUUAACCCCCAAUUUAUACCCAAACACCAUUCUUAAGGGGUGGGGUUAGUAAACCCCACCCCAAACCGGAUUAGUGGGGUUUACUAACCUCACUCCCCCUCCCAACUUUAACCUCGCACGCAUCCCGAGCCCUCACCUUUUUCUUUUUUAUCAAUCAUUAACCCCACUCCCCCUCCCAACUUUAACCCCGCAUGCAUCCCGAGCGCUCACAUUUUUCUUCUUUAUCAAUCAUUAACCCCACUCCCCCUCCCAACUUUAACCCCGCACGCAUCCCGAGCCCUCACCUUUUUCUUCUUUAUCAAUCAUUAUUUUUUUAUCCCACCUACUCCAACCAAACACUUUUUUUCACUAUCCUAGACUAACUCCAACCUCCAACCAAACACAAAAAAAUUUUAAUCCCACUUUAACCCUGAACUUAACCCUAUCCCUGGUAUAGCUACUUUUUCCUUAACCCCGAACCAAACAGAAGCUUUAGGUAUUUGAAGGUAUAUAUAUAUAUAUAUAUAUAUAUAUAUAUAUGAUGUUUUUAACUUUGUAGGGUAUUUAUGAUAUUUAUAUAUUUGAGAGAGCAAGUAAUGAAAUAAUUGGCCCUAUUUUUAAAUUGAGCAAUACUAUAGAUACACCAUAAAGUGGGGUGUAUAUCUUACACCCACUCCAUCCGA
rnacentral:lncRNA from 1 species